ACCCUAAUUUCCCAAAUUGAGAAACCCUAACCCUAAUGUUUCCCUUUCCUCAGCCACUGAACGCAGCCUCUACCCCCUUUUCUUCCUAAACACCACACACACACAAAAGAAGAAAGAAACGCAUAGAGAGAGAGAGCACGAAGAGUAGAGAAAAGAGAGAGGGAAGAGCUCUUGCCCUGCCGCCGCCGUGACCGUCGCACUGCCACCGUUCAACUCCGCUCGCGCUGCCGCGCGUUCUGUCAUCAUCAGAGUCAUCGUCGUCGUUUGUGGAGCCGCGAGGAGCUCGCCGUCGAGCUGCUUUGCAGCGCCGUCCCGUCCAUAGAGCCGAGCCCGAGCCCGCUUCGUCACCGCCGUCGGGGUCUUCAUCGUCGCUGGUGCGGUCGGAGCCGCCGUCGUUGGAGAGAGAGCAAGCGCGAAUCUGAGAAAGGGAGAGGGAGAGAGAUCCGACGCCACAGAGGAGGAAAGGAGAAGUCUUCUGUCAUCAACGCCACUCCUCUUCACCACCGCCGCCGCCGGAAUUUCUGGUUGCCGCCAUGAUUAAUGAUGAGUUAGUUAAACCCUAGCCAUGAGAACCACCAUCUUUGAACCCUUGUCACUCUGUAAAUAGCUUGUAUCUGCCUCUGAUGUUCUUGGCUAUGUUAUAUUUGUUGGAGCAUGUUUUAAUGGAGCCACUGGCGGGGUGAUGCUACUGCCGGAACCACCGCGGGGUGUUGCUAGGAAUCGCCCCUGCCCUGCUUCUGCUAUACUUGGGUUCAACAUCCAUUGGCCUGGAGCUGUUUCUGCCUUUCGAUUCCAUUGAAUUCGAAAUCUUCAUUUCACUGCAACCAUGGUCAUUGUUGUGGAAGCUAAUGCUACUGCUGUCCCGGUUGUGUUGAGAUGUAGUGCUGCUGCUUUCUGGGCAGAAACGAUUGCGUGACUAGUAGAGGUCCAGCCAGCUGUCUCGCAGCAAUUCUGCCAACGGUCUCUUGUAAUUGCGACAUCGAGUGACAUAGGUUUGAAGACGCAAUUUGAAGCUGCGAGCGAUUAGUAGGUUUUCUUUAUGGUUUUAAUUGCUUUCAUGGAGUCCCCUCGCUCUUGUCCUUUGAAGUUUUAUUUUAACAGAGGGGUAGGUGUUGUAGUUGGAUUUAUAUGACUUCUUAUGUAUAAGAGUUACUAUUAAUAAUACUUAUAUGAUUGUUAUUAUUAUUUGCAAUGCUUAUCUUUGAUACAUGUCUUGAAUGAAUAAAAAAAAAAACAAAAUUUCUGGAAUUUUCUUAAAACUAAGACGCGAACUCGAUACAAAGGCUCGAUAAUUAAGUAGUUAAUACUAGAGAAGGUUACGUAAUAUUCUUUCUAGUAGAAAUACCCUGACUUAAGCAAGGUACUUUGCUGGAAGGGAUGUUACAAUAAUGCUUCCCAAAUUUUCAAAUAACAUAUUCAAUUCAAUUCCCUACUUUUUUUAUCAUCCCAUGUUCCCAAAUUCCCCACACUUAAAUUAUACACAAUAUCUAUCUUAAGCUAACCAAGGAUUCAACUUGAGAUUUUUAUUUUAUUUUUCUGCUUAAGGCUAGUAAUGUGGUUAUAGAACAGAAGGGGAUUAACAAGGCUCAAAUGGGCUAACAAGGGUGACAUAAAAUGGUAGGCUUUAUU